GAUGAACGCUGGCGGCGUGCUUAACACAUGCAAGUCGAACGAGGAACCUCACUUGUGUUGGGAGUAGUGGCGAACGGGUGAGUAACACGUGAGUAACCUGCCCUUGACUCUGGGAUAAGCCUGGGAAACCGGGGCUAAUACUGGAUACGACCUUCUAGCCCAUGCCCUGUUGGUGGAAAGCUUUUGUGGUUUUGGAUGGACUCGCGGCCUAUCAGCUUGUUGGUGGGGUAAUGGCCUACCAAGUCGACGCCGGGUAGCCGGCCUGAGAGGGUGACCGGCCAUACUGGGACUGAGACACGGCCCAGACUCCUACGGGAGGCAGCAGUGGGGACUACUGCACAAUGGGUGCAAGCCUGAUGCAGCGACGCGGCGUGAGGGAUGAAGGCCUUCGGGUUGCAAACCUCUUUCAGUAGGGAAGAAGCCGGCUUUUGGGUUGGUGACGGUACCUGCAGAAGAAGCGCCGGCUAACUCCGUG
rnacentral:rRNA from 1 species